GGGUCAGUGGGGUUAAUGGUUUGAGUGUUGGACUACGACUCUGGAGACCAGGGUUCGAUUCCCAGCUUGCCCA